GACGAACGCUGGCGGCGCGCCUAACACAUGCAAGUCGAACGGAGCUGCGAGAAGCUUGCUUUUCUUAGCUUAGUGGCGAACGGGUGAGUAACGCGUGAGUAACCUGCCCUGGAGUGGGGGACAACAGUUGGAAACGACUGCUAAUACCGCAUAAGCCCACGAUCCGGCAUCGGAUUGAGGGAAAAGGAUUUAUUCGCUUCAGGAUGGACUCGCGUCCAAUUAGCUAGUUGGUGGGGUAACGGCCCACCAAGGCGACGAUUGGUAGCCGGACUGAGAGGUUGAACGGCCACAUUGGGACUGAGACACGGCCCAGACUCCUACGGGAGGCAGCAGUGGGUGAUAUUGCACAAUGGGGGAAACCCUGAUGCAGCGGCGCCGCGUGGAGGAAGAAGGUUUUCGGAUUGUAAACUCCUGUCGUUAGGGACGAUAAUGACGGUACCUAACAAGAAAGCACCGGCUAACUACGUG
rnacentral:rRNA from 1 species